GCUUUCAGAGGGAAUUAAGUAUUGGAUAUCCCAAGAAAAUAAUGAGCUACCAAAAGGUGGGCUAAUAUUGCUGGAGACUGGGGUCUCUUAAAAAAACAAAAAAACCAACUUCCUCAUUUAGAAUUCCGCACAGGGUUCACCCUCUAGGGAAACCACAACCUCCCUAACAACACCUCCCUAACUAUACCUCUCUGGUUUAGCUGCUCAUGUCUUGAGCUUCCUGUUACAAUCCACCACACACUUGAAUUCUUUCCAGGUAGCUGACAAUACCCAGGUAACCCCUCGAAGGCUGGGGCUUGCUCUGUCAUCUGUUUGACUUCAGUACUCCUGGUCCUGAUACCCACCACGAGAGUUCCGGUACUGACCCCGACCAUCAAUCUCUAGACUGGAGGCUGUACAGAAACAUGCCCUGAGUCUCUUCCACAGCUCUUGCCACCCUGUGGCUGGGAGUGGGGGAGUCUGGCUACCCAGGAUCCAGCUAAUGUCCACGGUAGAAUGUACUAGCAUUCUUACAUGGAAGGCUGUAUAACACAAGUAGAAGCAAGGUCAAUUCUGCUGGCUAUAAGGUCUAAGGGAGUAGAUUCAUCAUACGCCUUGCUGAAUGACAUUCUCAUCAGCCAUGGGGCUUAUCUGAGGCCCUACCCUUCCUGCUGCCUCUCCGACUGUGAUAAUCAUCACUUGGAGUCCUGCGUUCGCUUCCGGUUGUCUUAAGCCAUUCCCCCUGGAAUGAGUCUGAAGCCAGUCUUCUGUGAGUGAUACCUCGAAAGGCUGAUCCCCAGAGACCAGCAUCUGUGAAAGAGGGCUAAGCCAAGAUGACUUGCCUGAAUCUGUUGCCAACCGGAUCAAUCCUGACCCCUCAGAAUAUUGAUGCCCAAAUAUUGGCCCCACCUUGAAGCAAAGAAUCAACUAUCUGUACCCUUGAACCAGAGUCAUGAACCACAUCGGAGAGGAGAGAUAAAGGCAAAAAGCAUAGCUUCCUAACUGAGGCAGACCUUAUUUGGUCAACAUCAAGUCUUGAGGAUUAGAAGGGGAGAAAGACUGGGGCCAGUCAGAUGGCUCUGUGGGUAAAGGCACUUGCUACCAAGCCUCAGAACCCAUAUGGUGGAAGGGGAGAACUGACUCCUGAAAGUUGUGCUCUGACCUGCAUGAA